GGUUCCAUAGUGUAGCAGUUAGCACGUCUGCUUUACAUGUAGAAUGCCCUGGGUCCACGUCCCAGUGGAGCCA
rnacentral:tRNA from 1 species